rnacentral:lncRNA from 1 species
AUGGCGGAGAGGCGGGGCUCCACGCUUCUCCGCAGCCUUCGCCUCAUUUCUCUAAGCCUCCUUUUGACAGCUUUCUUCCCUCCCAGAGAUCCAAGACUGGAGAACGGGUGCCCUGGUCUUCGGUGCCUGUCCAUCCCAACUGCUCCGGCGGGAACCGAAUCGCAGCACCUCCAUCCGGGGCCAGAGCUGACCGCACCUGCGCGCUGCCUCCGCCGACGGCGGCUCCGCCCCGCUCCUGCCCGGACUCGGCGUUGUCCCGCCUCUCUCGGCGACGGCCAUGUUGACUCCAGGAGAGCGGGGCGGGGACCUCGGCUCGGUUUAGCGCUGCGGAGCAUCUUCCCGCCUUGGUGUCACCUGAGGAAUUCUUCCUCGCACUUCGACUUCCUCUCAGCUCCCUUCCGCGCCUUCAGUACUCCAGAGCCCUGUGAGUAAAAUGGCAAAGUCUCAGGGCACUCUUGUGACUGGGAC